rnacentral:rRNA from 1 species
GACGAAGGGGGCUAGCGUUGCUCGGAAUCACUGGGCGUAAAGCGCACGUAGGCGGAUUGCUAAGUCAGGGGUGAAAUCCCGGAGCUCAACUCCGGAACUGCCUUUGAUACUGGCGAUCUUGAGUUCGGGAGAGGUGAGUGGAACUGCGAGUGUAGAGGUGAAAUUCGUAGAUAUUCGCAAGAACACCAGUGGCGAAGGCGGCUCACUGGCCCGAUACUGACGCUGAUGCGCGAAAGCGUGGGGAGCAAACAGG